AUGAUUGCAGAAUCCCGUGAACCAUCGAGUUUUUGAACGCAAGUUGCGCCCGAAGCCUUUUGGCCGAGGGCACGUCUGCCUGGGCGUCACGC
rnacentral:rRNA from 1 species